AUUGAACGCUGGCGGCAGGCCUAACACAUGCAAGUCGAACGUGUCUCGGAGGUGUGAGUAAUUUCUGGGACACUGCCUGGUGGAUGGGUAUCACUACUUGAAACUGUAUCUAAUACCGCAUCCCAUCAGCUGGGCCCAGAUGGGAUUAGCUUGUGGGUGGGGUAACGGCUCACCGAGGCGACGAUCCCUAGCUGGUCUGAGAGGAUGACCAGCCACACUGGAACUGAGACACGGUCCAGACUCCUACGGGAGGCAGCAGUGGGGAAUAUUGCACAAUGGGCGAAAGCCUGAUGCAGCCAUGCCGCGUGUAUGAAGAAGGCCUUCGGGUUGUAAAGUACUGUCAGCGGGGAGGCGGUACCCGCAGAAGAAGCACCGGCUAACUCCGUGCCAGCAGCCGCGGUAAUAC
rnacentral:rRNA from 1 species